rnacentral:rRNA from 1 species
UUGGUCAUUUAGAGGAAGUAAAAGUCGUAACAAGGUUUCCGUAGGUGAACCUGCGGAAGGAUCAUUAAUGAAACUUCAAAGUCGGCCAAAGGUUGUUGCUGGUGAUUAUUCACAUGUGCACGCCUUUGGUCGCAAAUCCACACACACCUGUGCAUCUAUGACUCGAGGUUGUAAUGACUGAGAGUAACUUUUAUACACUCUUGUAUGUAAUGGAAUGUCUUUUUGUGCUAUAAUGUACAAUAUAAACAACUUUCAACAACGGAUCUCUUGGCUCUCGCAUCGAUGAAGAACGCAGCGAAAUGCGAUAAGUAAUGUGAAUUGCAGAAUUCAGUGAAUCAUCGAAUCUUUGAACGCACCUUGCACCCUUUGGUAUUCCGAAGGGUACGCCCGUUUGAGUGUCAUUGUAAUCUCACUUCUACAACUUUAUUGUUGUUUGAAUGUGGACUUGGAUGUUGCCGUUUUAUCACGGCUCGUCUUAAAUGCCUGAGUGUACCCUGUUUUGCAGCGUAUCCAGUGUAAUAAACAUUUCACUAGAGUUGGUUGAAAGACCACGUUGACUAUAUGGGCUCUAUGCUUCAAACCGUCUGCCAUGUGGACAAUUUCUUGACAAUUUGACCUCAAAUCGGGUGGGACUACCCGCUGAACUUAAGCAUAUCAAUAAGCGGAGGAAAAGAAACUAACAAGGAUUCCCCUAGUAACGGCGAGUGAAGAGGGAAAAGCUCAAAUUUUAAAUCUGGUGUCUUUGACUCCCGAGUUGUAAUCUAGAGAAGUGUUUUCCGUGUCGGACCGUGUACAAGUUCCCUGGAACGGGGCGUCAUAGAGGGUGAGAAUCCCGUAUAUGCCACGGACUACCGAUGCUCUGUGAUACACUCUCAACGAGUCGAGUUGUUUGGGAAUGCAGCUCAAAAUGGGUGGUAAAUUCCAUCUAAAGCUAAAUAUUGGCGAGAGACCGAUAGCGAACAAGUACCGUGAGGGAAAGAUGAAAAGCACUUUGGAAAGAGAGUGAAACAGUACGUGAAAUUGUUGAAAGGGAAGCGUUUGAAGUCAGUCGCAUCUGUUGGGGUUCAGCCUGGCUUUUGCCUGGUGUAUUUCCUUUCCGAUGGGUCAGCAUCAGUUUCGACCGAGGGAAAAAGACAUUUGGAAUGUGGCUGUCUUCGGGCAGUGUUAUAGCCUUGUGUUGUAUGUCUCGGUUGGGACUGAGGAUUGCAGCGCGCCAUAAAUGGCCGGGGGUCGCUCCUCUCGACACGCGCUUAGGAUGCUGGCAUAAUGGCUUUAAGCGACCCGUCUUG